AUUCGAAGAAAUAUCUACUCUUUUCGC
rnacentral:sRNA from 1 species